rnacentral:rRNA from 1 species
UGGGUGAUCUGCCCUGCACUUUGGGAUAAGCCUGGGAAACUGGGUCUAAUACCGAAUAUGACCAUGGGAUGCAUGUCUCGUGGUGGAAAGCUUUUGCGGUGUGGGAUGGGCCCGCGGCCUAUCAGCUUGUUGGUGGGGUGAUGGCCUACCAAGGCGACGACGGGUAGCCGGCCUGAGAGGGUGUCCGGCCACACUGGGACUGAGAUACGGCCCAGACCUCCGUACGGGAGG